AAUACAAAGUGCUAAGUGGUGUAUGUAGGGCACCUACACUUAGGGAGGAGGAUUCGCUUGAGCUGGAACUGAAAAAACAAGUGAAGUUUGCAUGGGGAGAAGAGCACUCUUGACAGAGGGAAGAGCUUGUGAGAAGAUGGGCAUAAAAAGGCAGGGAAUGUUCUAGAAGCACCAAGUGAUGGCAGGAGACAGAAUGGUAGGGGAGCAGGAGGAAUGUAAGUUGAGGCAGAUUCAAAAGAGUCUGAUACAUGAUAGUAAGGAUUUGAGAUUUAUUCUGUAAGCACAUGGAGUCAUCAGUGGUGCUUAACAAGGAAGAAAGUCAGCAAUACCUGGAGAGCAUGUGUCAGCAGACUCCCUCUCAGACAGACUUACCCGCUGCCAUCACGUUCCUUGUUUUGGAAAGAGGAGGCUAAUGCUGGAGUGGAGGAUGCUCUGCACGUGGAGAUCUCGGCAUGGCAGAUGCCAGUUCCCAUUGAUUUUGGGAGCAGCACAUAUAGAAACAAUUGCUAUACUUGAUCAUGACUACUUCCUAUGGCUCUGAAGGAUCUUUGCAAAUUGUCAUUUUGGACUCAGUUUGAAUACAGGUUUGAAUACUCCCUUUGAAUUACAAUUAGAAUAUUAAAAUAAAUGCA
rnacentral:lncRNA from 12 species